rnacentral:rRNA from 1 species
CUGGCGGCGUGCUUAACACAUGCAAGUCGAACGCGAAAGGGAACUUCGGUCCUGAGUAAAGUAGGCGCACGGGUGAGUAACGCGUAGAUAACCUGUCUCAUGUCUGGAAUAAUACGCCGAAAGGGGUACUAAUACCGGAUAUUCUUGCUUUUCAUAAGUUAUGCAAGCAAAGGUGGCCUCUGCAUAUGCUACUGCAUGAAGAGGGGUCUGCGUACCAUUAGCUAGUAGGUGGGGUAAUGGCCUACCUAGGCGACGAUGGUUAGCGGGUCUGAGAGGAUGAUCCGCCACACUGGCACUGGAACACGGGCCAGACUCCUACGGGAGGCAGCAGUGAGGAAUAUUGCGCAAUGGGGGAAACCCUGACGCAGCGACGCCGCGUGAGUGAGGAAGGCCUUCGGGUCGUAAAGCUCUGUCAAGAGGAAAGAAGUGUACAAUGGCUAAUACCUGUUGUAUUUGACGGUACCUCUAAAGGAAGCACCGGCUAACUCCGUGCCAGCCGCCGC